GAUACCAUUAAGUCUAAGGCUGCUGUCUGAAUUGAGAGGUCAGUUCAGAUUUACAGGCUUAUAUGGAAGCUUGCAGCCAUGAUGUUACAGCACUCUCCUACAUUGGAGGGCGCAAUAACUAAUGAAAAGAGCCAUUUCCAGCAUUGUCUGCUUUUCUGGCACUUUGGACUCUCAGCUGAUGUUCCAUAUCAGACCAUUCCUUUUGACACUUCAGGGCUUUGGCAAUGUUUGUAAAACUGUUACCGAUGGAAGUCCACCUUGCCAUUGUUCUGUACAGUGCAAGAGGGUGGAGAAAGGAGACACAUGGACAUCCUUGGCAAAGCUCGUGCCUGGUGUUUAACUAUAUUCUAACCAUUUUAAUUGGUGAUCCUAUCCAAUCUUGGGGAGAAGGCUGGGUAUAAAUAAUGAUCCUCUGCUUUCUGCUCCUCCUCCUGUUCUAAGGCCUUGUUUAACUAUUUGGCAUCUCACUGAAACUAGUAAGACGGAAUUUUCUUCUAAGUGGAAGAGACAAAAAGGUGGAAGGUACUGUGGACUGGUGGAUUUCUCGUCACAUUACUGCUCCUCACUUUCUUCAUCUGCUCAAGAAUCACUAUGGUAGCCAUGUUCUCAUCUGUUUUAAAGUAACAUUUUGAUGGAUUUUAAUUAUGUUGUUAUUUUAAUACUGCAUUCAUUCUGCGAUUAUUUAAAACUGUUUCAAUUUUUAAUCUGAAUUUUGUAUGUUUUAUUGUA